UACGUAGGUGGCAAGCGUUAUCCGGAAUUAUUGGGCGUAAAGCGCGCGCAGGCGGUUUCUUAAGUCUGAUGUGAAAGCCCCCGGCUCAACUGGGGAGGGUCACUCGAUACUGAUCGACUUGAAGGCAGGAGAGGGAAGCGGAAUUCCCGGUGUAGUGGUGAAAUGCGUAGAUAUCGGGAGGAACACCAGUGGCGAAGGCGGCUUCCUGGCCUGUUCUUGACGCUGAGGCGCGAAAGCUAGGGGAGCAAACGGG
rnacentral:rRNA from 1 species